rnacentral:tRNA from 1 species
GGCGGCAUAACUCAGUUGGUAGAGUACCCGGUUCAUACCCGGCCUGUCGCUGGUUCGAAUCCAGCUGCCGCUACCA